CACAAUGGACGGAAGUCUGAUGCAGCGACGCCGCGUGGACGAAGAAGGCCUUCGGGUUGUAAAGUCCUUUUCAGGGGGAAGAGAGAGGACGGUACCCUUGGAAUAAGCGUCGGCUAACUACGUGCCAGCAGCCGCGGUAAGACGUAGGACGCGAGCGUUAUCCGGAUUUACUGGGCGUAAAGCGUCUGUAGGCGGGACAGUAAGUUGGGCGUGAAAGCUUCGGUCUUAACCCGGAGAGGACGUACAAGACUGCUGAACUAGAGGCGACCAGAGGGGGGUGGAAUUUCCGGUGUAGCGGGAAAAUGCGCAGAUAUCGGAAGGAACACCAGUGGGGAAGGAGGCGCCCUGGGG
rnacentral:rRNA from 1 species